rnacentral:tRNA from 1 species
GGCAAGAUAAGCUAAGAUAAAGCUACUGGGUUCAUACCUCAGCUAUGAGAUAGUACUCUCUCUUGUUA